UGGGGAAUUUUGGACAAUGGGCGAAAGCCUGAUCCAGCAAUGCCGCGUGUGUGAAGAAGGCCUUCGGGUUGUAAAGCACUUUUGUCCGGAAAGAAAUCCUUGGCUCUAAUACAGUCGGGGGAUGACGGUACCGGAAGAAUAAGCACCGGCUAACUACGUGCCAGCAGCCGCGGUAAUACGUAGGGUGCAAGCGUUAAUCGGAAUUACUGGGCGUAAAGCGUGCGCAGGCGGUUUGCUAAGACCGAUGUGAAAUCCCCGGGCUCAACCUGGGAACUGCAUUGGUGACUGGCAGGCUAGAGUAUGGCAGAGGGGGGUAGAAUUCCACGUGUAGCAGUGAAAUGCGUAGAGAUGUGGAGGAAUACCGAUGGCGAAGGCAGCCCCCUGGGCCAAAUACUGACGCUCAUGCACGAAAGCGUGGGGAGCAAACAGGAUUAGAUACCCUGGUAGUCCACGCCCUAAACGAUGUCAACUAGUUGUUGGGGAUUCAUUUCCUUAGUAACGUAGCUAACGCGUGAAGUUGACCGCCUGGGGAGUACGUCGCAAGAUU
rnacentral:rRNA from 1 species